GCGGGCAUAGCUCAGGUGGUAGAGCACAAGCUUACCAAGCUUGGGGACGCGGGGUCGAGGCCCGUUGCCCGCUCCA
rnacentral:tRNA from 1 species